GACGAACGCUGGCGGCGCGCCUAACACAUGCAAGUCGAACGGAGCUUUGAGAGCUUGCUUUUAAAGCUUAGUGGCGAACGGGUGAGUAACGCGUGAGUAACCUGCCCUGGAGUGGGGGACAACAGUUGGAAACGACUGCUAAUACCGCAUGAUGCAGUUGGGUCGCAUGACUCUGACUGCCAAAGAUUUAUCGCUCUGAGAUGGACUCGCGUCUGAUUAGCUUGUUGGCGGGGUAACGGCCCACCAAGGCGACGAUCAGUAGCCGGACUGAGAGGUUGAACGGCCACAUUGGGACUGAGAUACGGCCCAG
rnacentral:rRNA from 1 species